rnacentral:tRNA from 1 species
GGAUUGUAGCUCAGUGGUUGAGCGCUUGCCUCCCAUACGUGAGGAAUUGGGUUCGAUCCCCAGCACCA